GUAAUGAUUGCGAUGAGGGUCCACCUGUUCCCAUCCCGAACACAGAAGUUAAGCUCAUCUGCGCCGACAAUACUUUGCGGGUGACUGCACGGAAAGAUAGGUAUUGCCA
rnacentral:rRNA from 1 species